UACAGAGGUGACAAACGUUGUCCGGAAUCACUGGGCGUAAAGGGCACGUAGGCGGUUUGGUAAGUCAGAUGUGAAAUCUUAGGGCUCAACCCUGAAAUUGCAUUUGAAACUACUAAACUUGAGUUCGGUAGAGGAGGGCGGAAUUCCUGGUGUAGCGGUGAAAUGCGUAGAUAUGAGGAGGAAGACCGGUGGCGAAGGCGGCCCUCUGGUCCGAUACUGACGCUGAUGUGCGGAAGCGUGGGGAGCAAACAGG
rnacentral:rRNA from 1 species